UACGAAGGGUGCAAGCGUUACUCGGAAUCACUGGGCGUAAAGGGUGCGUAGGCGGGUCUUUAAGUCAGGGGUGAAAUCCUGGAGCUCAACUCCAGAACUGCCUUUGAUACUGAGGAUCUUGAGUCCGGGAGAGGUGAGUGGAACUGCGAGUGUAGAGGUGAAAUUCGUAGAUAUUCGCAAGAACACCAGUGGCGAAGGCGGCUCACUGGCCCGGUACUGACGCUGAGGCACGAAAGCGUGGGGAGCAAACAGG
rnacentral:rRNA from 1 species